rnacentral:lncRNA from 1 species
GCGGAUUUGUGACGUAACCCAUCCUCUCACCAAAUGGCAAAACCCACACACAAAUACAUAUAAUAUAUAUAUAUCUCCAGUUUUCUCGAAAUUCGUGCGUCAAAUCUGAAAUCCGUCAGCGCCAAUGGCUUCAGAAUAGUCAGACAAUUGAAAACGAGCUAUUGGAUCACUAUGAACAGAGUCCAUACGUGCCAAAAGCCAACUCUACACCGUGGCCUUUCCGAAAAAUCGGGUUACUAUUCACUUUAAGUGAAAAGUAAAGAUCGCGUAAAAUCUCCACUCUAGCUCGUUUUCCCCCGAAACUUAACGAUUACUUUUGUAAUUAAAAUACACACAAAAAUAUCGUCAACAAAGAGUUUGGCU